rnacentral:rRNA from 1 species
AACGAACGCUGGCGGCAGGCUUAACACAUGCAAGUCGAACGCCCCGCAAGGGGAGUGGCAGACGGGUGAGUAACGCGUGGGAAUCUACCUAGUUCUACGGAACAACAGUUGGAAACGACUGCUAAUACCGUAUACGCCCUACGGGGGAAAGAUUUAUCGGAAUUAGAUGAGCCCGCGUUGGAUUAGCUAGUUGGUGAGGUAAUGGCUCACCAAGGCGACGAUCCAUAGCUGGUCUGAGAGGAUGAUCAGCCACUCUGGGACUGAGACACGGCCCAGACUCCUACGGGAGGCAGCAGUGGGGAAUAUUGGACAAUGGGCGCAAGCCUGAUCCAGCCAUGCCGCGUGAGUGAUGAAGGUCUUAGGGUUGUAAAGCUCUUUCACCGAUGAAGAUAAUGACGGUAGUCGGAGAAGAAGCCCCGGCUAACUUCGUGCCAGCCGCCGCGGUAAAAC